rnacentral:snoRNA from 1 species
GCAGUGUGUGUGUGUGUGUGUGUUUAACUUGUGGACAAAGGCUUAUAGACAGGUUGGAAAAAUUAAUCCUCAUUUGCAACCCAGGACUCAUUGUACAGUAUGAGUUUGACACAUAUAAGAAGGAAUAUG